rnacentral:rRNA from 1 species
AGUGAACGCUGGCGGUAGGCCUAACACAUGCAAGUCGAACGGCAGCACAGUAAGAGCUUGCUCUUACGGGUGGCGAGUGGCGGACGGGUGAGGAAUACAUCGGAAUCUACUUUUUCGUGGGGGAUAACGUAGGGAAACUUACGCUAAUACCGCAUACGACCUACGGGUGAAAGCAGGGGAUCUUCGGACCUUGCGCGAUUGAAUGAGCCGAUGUCGGAUUAGCUAGUUGGCGGGGUAAAGGCCCACCAAGGCGACGAUCCGUAGCUGGUCUGAGAGGAUGAUCAGCCACACUGGUACUGAGACACGGUCCAGACUCCUACGGGAGGCAGCAGUGGGGAAUAUUGGACAAUGGGCGCAAGCCGGAUCCAGCCAUACCGCGUGGGUGAAGAAGGCCUUCGGGUUGUAAAGCCCUUUUGUUGGGAAAGAAAAGCAGCAGGUUAAUACCCCGCUGUUCUGACGGUACCCAAAGAAUAAGCACCGGCUAACUUCGUG